rnacentral:lncRNA from 1 species
GUCGAUAUAGUCCGGCUUGUGAGAGGUCAAUUUCUUGUUGGCCUCGUCUCUAGUGACCGCAUAUACCAAGUAGCCAUCUUUGCAGGACCCAAGUCCUUCAUUGAGAAUCUUUUGGAUAGACUCUCCUUUAGUUUGUUAAUCUCCAUCAUACUUGAUCCUGGCAAUAAGCAUGUCAUCCACAUAUAAUAAGGAGAAUAAUAUAUGAUGUUUUGGAACUUUCUUGACAUAGCAACAAUGGUCAGCACUGGCAUCUUUGUAACCAUUGUCAGACAUGAACCCACAAACUGAUUCCACUGUCUAGGUGCUUGUUUCAACAAAACCAUACAGCUCUUCUUAAGCUUGCACACCCAAUUCUCCUUGCCAUUUUUUUCAUACCUCUCUGGUUGUCUCAUAUAGAGGUCUUCAUCUAAUCCCCAGACGAAUGGGCCGUUUUUACAUCUAGCUGCUCUGAUGCAAGUCUUCCACUGCCACAAUGACUCAAGAUGGUCCUAAUGAUUGGGGAUAACUUCACAAUAAGAGAGCAGAUGUAUGUUAAAAUCUACACCUCCUUUUGUUGAAACCCUUUUUGCAACCAAUCUGCUUGUUCCCUUUUUUCGACCCCCAUCAUGCUCUUCUUUCGAUCUGUAAACCCACUUUUAUGCAGGGCUUCUUACCCUUAGGCAACUCAACAAUUCCAUUUUUGUUAAGUUGUGAGGGAUUUCAUCUCAUCUCCAUGGCUUGCUUUCCCGCUCCCACUUCACCUUUGCCUCGCCUUCACGCUUCCUCAUAACAUUUUGGUUCACAUUGUCUAUAUGUACAGAGUACUGUAGCGAUGACAUGUAACGAGCUGGGUGUCUGAUUCUUGAGUGUUCGUGGUCAAUCUCUCAAACACAGGAUCAGGGGAAGAACUUGAGUUUCUAACGGUAUGUUUUGAUUUCUACGCAUCAAUACAAUCUUUUUUCUAGAAAUCUUCUCAAGUUUUCUGGCAAACUCCUUGCUUUUUGCUGCUUCUGUUCCGCUCAUCAUCAUGUCCUUGUACAGGGCAUUCUCAUUGCACACCACAUCUCUACUCCUUAUGACUUUGGCAGUUUUUGAUGUCCAAAAAACGAUAGCCAAAGUCAUUUAUCCCAUAACCAUGAAAUGCCUUCUUGAUUUUGGAUCCAAGCUUGGAACUUGUUUUUCUGCCUCAAUAUAACAUAUUUGAGACACAACCAAUAUUUUCAGUUAGAUCAGUUACCCUGUCCUUUCCUCCUGUCCAAGUUGCUUGGGGCAAACCCCAGUCAAACACUGAGGGUCCGCGGUUGAUUAAGUAUGCCGCCAUGCUCACACAGCAUCUGCCAAAGAUUUUUGGCACCCAGCUUUAUCCUCAUACACCGUGCAAUGCUCGGUUGUAUUUUCUGUUCAGCGCUCGACAACCCCAUUCUGUUGUGGAUUCCUAGGAAUCGUCUUAUGUCUCUUGAGCCCAUUCCCAUUCCAUAGCGCAGUACCCUUUCGAACUCAUCACUGCAAUACUCUUCACCAUUGUCCUGACCUCAAGCACUUCAACAACUUUAGACUGUCUCGUUCUCAGUAUUAGCUCUCCUUUCUGAACACAUCAAAUACGUCUGAUUUUUUUUCAAGAAAUAUACCCAUAACUUUCUACUAGCAUCAUCAAUGAAGUGAACAAAGUAAAGGAUCCACCAAGGGAACUUACUUUAGCUUGGUCCCCACCCAUCGGUGUUGAACAACUCCAACCGUUCGCGCUAGGCUCUGAACGUUCUUUGAGAAGCGAACUUGCCUUUUGCUUUCCAUAGACACAAUUCUCGUCAAAAUUCCAGAUCUAGUUGCUUCAUUUCUGGCAAUUUUUCAAUUUGUGAACUCAUGCCUUCAUGCAUUUCUCACUCAUGUGUCCAGCCUCAGGUGCCAUGUAGUUGCAUCUGGUUCGAUGAGUAACUGCAGUACCGGUUUCGUCCAGACGUACAAAGAAUUCCUUGUUUCUUCCCAUGUGCCAUCACCAUAGCACCUUUGUCACCUUCCAUGAAUCGUCAGUAAGAUAGUCUGCAUCCAAAGUUUGCAGUUUAUCCCAAAAUCAGAUUCCUAGUCAAAUUUUGGGAACGUGUCUCCAUCUUUUCAUGCGUAGAGUCUCCAUUUGUCGGCAAUCUGCACUUCUCCCUUCCCAAUAAUGGAACAAGGUUCAUCAUCCCUCCGAGAUAUACUGCCCGAAGUCACCCUUCACAUAUUGUGUGGGAGAAAAAAUUCCUUUCUGGUAUGUGGCGUGAAAUGACGCGUGCUCCCCGCGAGUCUACUUCCCAUACAUCGUCGUGUGUAGCUACUGAUAGCACUAAAACUUCCGCAUCUCCAUUGUCAGAGACGUUAACAGAGUGUUACAUCUCUGAUCAUCGGCAUUCUUCUUUUGGCUUUUGUUAGUGUUUUGCCGAAAUGCCCCUUCUUCCCUACAUUGUCGCUUCGCGUCCUUCUCUUAUCGUGGCCCUUUGGAGAUUUCCCCCACUUUGAUUUUGAGCGACCUUUGUUGCUUCCCUCG